AUGUAGUGUGUGGAUCUCGUCAGCAUAUCGUCGCAAACAGGUAAUCCCCAAUCAUAGUGGGCUUGGAGCUGUGAGGGAAUUCGGAGUGGCCACCCGUUCUGAAAGUUUGAUUUUCUUCUGGUGAACUGGACAUCCUUUUAAUUACGUUUGAGGUUUUGGGCUUUUAAAUGUAAUAAGGCCGCUUAUUUA